UGGGAAUCUCUUCAGCUUUGCCAUCUGGCU
rnacentral:piRNA from 1 species